CUUGAUCCACUUAGGCCAAUUUGUUGUCCUUGCAAUUUCGAUUGCUUUGGAUCUCUCCUGAGAAAGUUUUAGGAUCUUAAUAGCUACUAGCCAUGUCUAAUCUUGACCUAUAGCUAAAGAUAUGCCUACGUGUUUUACUUUCAAUGUAAAUAUGAAAAACAAUCAAAUUUUAAAAAGGGAAACUUAAACCUAAAAAAGUUGAAAUUAAAAAAAGCACAACUCAAAAAAGC
rnacentral:lncRNA from 1 species